CCGACGGGUGAGUAACACGUAUGCAAUCCACCUGUAACAGGGGAGUAACCCGGAGAAAUCCGGACUAAUACCCCAUAAUAUGGGCGCUCCGCAUGGAGAGUUCAUUAAAGAGAGCAAUUUUGGUUACAGACGAGCAUGCGCUCCAUUAGCCAGUUGGCGGGGUAACGGCCCACCAAGGCGACGAUGGAUAGGGGUUCUGAGAGGAAGGUCCCCCACAUUGGAACUGAGACACGGUCCAA
rnacentral:rRNA from 1 species